GAUGAACGCUGGCGGCGUGCUUAACACAUGCAAGUCGAACGGAAAGGCCACAGCUUGCUGUGGUACUCGAGUGGCGAACGGGUGAGUAACACGUGGGUGAUCUGCCCUGUACUUCGGGAUAAGCUUGGGAAACUGGGUCUAAUACCGGAUAGAAAUCACAUGUGGGUGUGUGGUUGGAAAGCUUUUGCGGUAUGGGAUGAGCUCGCGGCCUAUCAGCUUGUUGGUGGGGUAAUGGCCUACCAAGGCGUCGACGGGUAGCCGGCCUGAGAGGGUGUACGGCCACAUUGGGACUGAGAUACGGCCCAGACUCCUACGGGAGGCAGCAGUGGGGAAUAUUGCACAAUGGGCGCAAGCCUGAUGCAGCGACGCCGCGUGGGGGAUGACGGCCUUCGGGUUGUAAACUCCUUUCGUCAGGGACGAAGCGAAAGUGACGGUACCUGGAUAAGAAGCACCGGCUAACUACGUG
rnacentral:rRNA from 1 species